UACGUAGGGCGCAAGCGUUAUCCGGAAUUAUUGGGCGUAAAGAGCUCGUAGGCGGUUUGUCGCGUCUGCCGUGAAAGUCCGGGGCUCAACUCCGGAUCUGCGGUGGGUACGGGCAGACUAGAGGUGAUGUAGGGGAGACUGGAAUUCCUGGAUGUAGCGGUGAAAAUGCGGCAGAUAUCAGGAGGAACACCGAGUGGCGAAGGCAGGUCUCUGGGCAUUAACUGACGCUGGAGGAGCGAAAGCCAUGGGGAGCGAACAGG
rnacentral:rRNA from 1 species